AUUGAACGCUGGCGGCAUGCUUUACACAUGCAAGUCGAACGGUAACAGGCCUUCAGGUGCUUACUAGUGGCGACCGGGUGAGUAAUGCAUCGGAACGUACCCAGAGGUGGGGGUUAACGCAGCGAAAGCUGUGCUAAUACCCCAUGUGAUCUCAUGCUGACAACGGGGGACCGCGCAGCAAUGUUUGGCCUCGCGCCUUUGGAGCGGCCGAUGUCGGAUUAGCUAGUUGGCGGGGUAAAGGCCUACCAAGGCGACGAUCCGUAGCUGGUCUGAGAGGACGAUCAGCCACACUGGGACUGAGACACGGCCCAGACUCCUACGGGAGGCAGCAGUGGGGAAUGUUGGACAAUGGGCGCAAGCCUGAGCCAGCAAUGCCGCGUGCGGGAAGAAGGCCUUCGGGUUGUAAACCGCUUUUGGCAGGAACGAAACGGUGUCCGCUAAUACCGGGCGCUAAUGACGGUACCUGCAGAAUAAGCACCGGCUAACUACGUG
rnacentral:rRNA from 1 species